UUCAUUAUCAAAAUUUUCAUCGGAAAUAAUUCCAAUUCUUUCACCGCUCAUUGUUUCAUUGGAUUCCUUGAUAAUGUUAAUAUUGUCUUGGUCAUAAUAACAAAUUAAAAAAAGAACAAAUGGAGAUUACGUCAACCAAUUCAAGGACAAAGAAAAUAAUUUAUUCGCUGAUUUACAUCAAGUAAAAUUCAAUUUUAAUUAUUACACAUGCUGACUAAAUAAAAAAAUUUAAAUAUUUAUAUUUCAACAUCAAUUUAUCAACUUGAUGCUGAUCUAAUUGAGCUGUGACGAAAAACC